UAGAGUUUGAUUCUGGCUUCAGAAGGAACGCUGGCAGCGUGCAUAACACAUGCAAGUCGAACGAUGAAGCAUUUUCGGAAUGUGGAAGAGUGGCGAACGGGUGAGGAACACGUAAGAAUCUGCCCCUCGGUCGGGGACAACUUUUGGAAACGAAAGCUAAUACCCGAUACGCUGUGGAGUGAAAGAAUUUCGCCGAGGGAUGAUCUUGCGUCUGAUUAGCUAGUUGGUGCGGUAAUGGCGCACCAAGGCGACGAUCAGUAGCUGGUCUGAGAGGAUGAACAGCCACAUUGGAACUGAGACACGGUCCAAACUCCUACGGGAGGCAGCAGUGGGGAAUUUUCCGUAAUGGACGAAAGUCUGACGGAGCGACGCUGCGUGAAGGAUGACGGCCUGCGGGUUGUAAACUUCUUUUCUCGAAGAAGAAGCGCUGACGGUAUUCGAGGAAUAAGCCUCGGCUAACUCCGUGCCAGCAGCCGCGGUAAUACA
rnacentral:rRNA from 1 species